rnacentral:rRNA from 1 species
UACGGGGGGAGCAAGCGUUGUUCGGAUUUACUGGGCGUAAAGGGCGCGUAGGCGGUAGCACAAGUCAGUUGUGAAAUCUCCGGGCUUAACUCGGAAAGGUCAACUGAUACUGUGCGACUAGAGUGCAGAAGGGGCAACUGGAAUUCUCGGUGUAGCGGUGAAAUGCGUAGAUAUCGAGAGGAACACCUGCGGCGAAGGCGGGUUGCUGGGCUGACACUGACGCUGAGGCGCGAAAGCCAGGGGAGCUAACGGG